rfam:Tstilago hordei, Th4857-4, WGS project CAGI01000000 data, contig: THOR_scaffold_5.00012
GGCCGGUUGGCCCAAUGGUAAGGCGUCUGACUACGACCGUAGCCGCCCAAGCAGCGAGUAAUCAGGAGAUUCUGGGUUCGAGCCCCAGGCUGGUCA